UACGUAGGGGGCAAGCGUUGUCCGGAAUCAUUGGGCGUAAAGAGCGCGUAGGCGGUCCGGUAAGUCGGUUGUGAAAACUGGGGGCUCAACCCUCAGAGGCCGACCGAUACUGCCGGGCUAGAGUCCGGAAGAGGCGAGUGGAAUUCCUGGUGUAGCGGUGAAAUGCGCAGAUAUCCGGAGGAACACCGGUGGCGAAGGCGGCUUCCUGGACCGACACUGACGCUGAGGCGCGAAAGCUAGGGGAGCAAACGGG
rnacentral:rRNA from 1 species